rnacentral:rRNA from 1 species
AAACACUGGCGGCGUGCCUAACACAUGCAAGUCGAACGAAGCACUGUGGAAAGAGACUCGGUCAAUUGAAACUUUGACUUAGUGGCGGACGUGUGAGUAAUGCAUGAGCAACCUGCCCUGGAGAGGGGGACAACAGCUGGAAACGGCUGCUAAUACCGCAUGAAGUCGUCGGAGGGCAUCCUCUGACGACCAAAGAUUUAUCGCUCUGGGAUGGGCUCAUGUCUGAUUAGAUAGUUGGCGGGGCAACGGCCCACCAAGUCUGCGAUCAGUAGCCGGACUGAGAGGUUGAACGGCCACAUGGGACUGAGAUACGGCCCAGACUCCUACGGGAGGCAGCAGUGGGGAAUAUUGGGCAAUGGGCGCAAGCCUGACCCAGCAACGCCGCGUGAAGGAAGAAGGCUUUCGGGUUGUAAACUUCUUUUAUCAGGGACGAAGAAAGUGACGGUACCUGAUGAAUAAGCCACGGCUAACUACGUGCCAGCCGCUGC